rnacentral:rRNA from 1 species
UACAGAGGGGGCAAGCGUUAUUCGGAAUUAUUGGGCGUAAAGGGCGCGUAGGCGGCUUGGCAAGUGGAUGGUGAAAUCCCUCGGCUUAACCGAGGAACUGCCGUCCAAACUGCUUCGCUUGAGACCGGGAGAGGUGAGUGGAAUUCCCAGUGUAGCGGUGAAAUGCGUAGAUAUUGGGAGGAACACCAGUGGCGAAGGCGGCUCAAUGGACCGGUACUGACGCUGAUGCGCGAAAGCGUGGGGAGCAAACGGG